GGCUCGGUGGUGGAUGGUCCACAUCUGUUUCUCAUGCAGAUGUAUCUUGCCAAUGUAAGCAGAAGCAGCCUGUUCGAGUCAGGGCCGAGCCA